CUGGCUCAGGACGAACGCUGGCGGCGUGCUAAUACAUGCAAGUCGAGCGGACAGAUGGGAGCUUGCUCCUUGAUGUCAGCGGCGGACGGGUGAGUAACACGUGGGUAACCUGCCUGUAAGACUGGGAUAACUCCGGGAAACCGGGGCUAAUACCGGAUGCUUGAUUGAACCGCAUGGUUCAAUUAUAAAAGGUGGCUUUUAGCUACCACUUACAGAUGGACCCGCGGCGCAUUAGCUAGUUGGUGAGGUAACGGCUCACCAAGGCAACGAUGCGUAGCCGACCUGAGAGGGUGAUCGGCCACACUGGGACUGAGACACGGCCCAGACUCCUACGGGAGGCAGCAGUAGGGAAUCUUCCGCAAUGGACGAAAGUCUGACGGAGCAACGCCGCGUGAGUGAUGAAGGUUUUCGGAUCGUAAAACUCUGUUGUUAGGGAAGAACAAGUACCGUUCGAAUAGGGCGGUACCUUGACGGUACCUAACCAGAAAGCCACGGCUAACUACGUGCCAGCAGCCGCGGUAAUACGUAGGUGGCAAGCGUUGUCCGGAAUUAUUGGGCGUAAAGCGCGCGCAGGCGGUUUCUUAAGUCUGAUGUGAAAGCCCCCGGCUCAACCGGGGAGGGUCAUUGGAAACUGGGGAACUUGAGUGCAGAAGAGGAGAGUGGAAUUCCACGUGUAGCGGUGAAAUGCGUAGAGAUGUGGAGGAACACCAGUGGCGAAGGCGACUCUCUGGUCUGUAACUGACGCUGAGGCGCGAAAGCGUGGGGAGCGAACAGGAUUAGAUACCCUGGUAGUCCACGCCGUAAACGAUGAGUGAUAAGUGUUAGAGGGUUUCCGCCCUUUAGUGCUGCAGCAAACGCA
rnacentral:rRNA from 1 species